GAUGAACGCUGGCGGCGUGCCUAAUACAUGCAAGUCGAGCGAACGGACGAGGAGCUUGCUUCUCUGAUGUUAGCGGCGGACGGGUGAGUAACACGUGGAUAACCUACCUAUAAGACUGGGAUAACUUCGGGAAACCGGAGCUAAUACCGGAUAAUAUUUUGAACCGCAUGGUUCAAAAGUGAAAGACGGUUUUGCUGUCACUUAUAGAUGGAUCCGCGCCGCAUUAGCUAGUUGGUAAGGUAACGGCUUACCAAGGCAACGAUGCAUAGCCGACCUGAGAGGGUGAUCGGCCACACUGGAACUGAGACACGGUCCAGACUCCUACGGGAGGCAGCAGUAGGGAAUCUUCCGCAAUGGGCGAAAGCCUGACGGAGCAACGCCGCGUGAGUGAUGAAGGUCUUCGGAUCGUAAAACUCUGUUAUUAGGGAAGAACAAAUGUGUAAGUAACUAUGCACGUCUUGACGGUACCUAAUCAGAAAGCCACGGCUAACUACGUG
rnacentral:rRNA from 1 species